rnacentral:rRNA from 1 species
GACGAACGCUGGCGGCGUGCUUAACACAUGCAAGUCGAGCGGCGCGGCGAACGGGUGCGUAACGCGUGAGUAACUGCCCCCCUCUCUGGGAUAACAGUUGGACACGGCUGCUAAUACCGGAUAGUGGGGGAUGACUCGCGGCCUAUCAGCUUGUUGGUUGGGUAGUGGCCUACCAAGGCGACGACGGGUAGCCGGCCUGCGAGGGGGACCGGCCACAGUGGGCUGGGAUACGGCCCAAACGCCGACGGGAGGCAGCAGGGGGGAAGAUUGCGCAAUGGGGGAAACCCUGAGGCAGAAACGCCGCGGGCGGGAGGACGGUCUUCGGGGUGUAAACCGCGUUCAGCCAUGACGCGGUAGUGGCAGAAGAAGCACCGGCUAACUACGUGCCAGCAGCCGCGGUAAUAC